GAGUAUUUAUUCUCCAAACUGAUCUUUUUAUACCGGUCCCCCGAAACUCUCAUCAAGUGGACCAAGUUUAAGUACAGCUGAUCUUCCUGGUUCUGGAUCUUUACAGUGCCAAAAUUUUAUUUAUUAAUCUCAAGAAGAUGUCGUAUUUAAUUAAAAUGGCUGCCAUUAAGUCGGUAUUUGAGAGACAAUAGAAUGAUUGGAUAUGUCUGUAUAGGGUGUUCAAUUAAAAGAUAAUAUUGAUCCUCUAGAAUAUUUUAUUUAAACAGGUAGGAUUGAUAGUUUUUUGUGUACUGGUAUAUUUUUUAAUUUUUUAACAAAGUUUUAAAGCAACUUGCUCUAGAAAAAUAUUCUCUCAAUGAAUUUUAUCUCAUCCCAGAACAUAUCGCUUUAAUAAUCAUUUAAUUAUCAUUUUAUCAGGAUUAUUCUGUACGCAUAUUUUUUGCCAAUGGUCCAGUAUAAAGGAAGUUCUUCAGAUUUAUGUUAUUUGCAAAUAUUACAGAGUUUUAAUGCAAAUUCCUUUCGGCAAUAGGUAAAUAAUCAAAUCGAAAGCAUACUGUAUGAAAUCUGAUUGGCUAGUUCUAUAUUCCUUAUUGGCAUUAUUGCUUUGACCUGCAAACAUUGUGUACAAUAAAUAACUAUUGUGAUUGUAUACCUUAAUCACCAGAGUUUUUGUAGUUUUUACACGCCUCUUUUUUAACAACUAUUUGUUUAUUCUCACCUACCAGGAUUUGAAACGGCAAGAUUUUUCCUGCAUUAUCUCCCUUUGUAUGUGCAAUUAUCUAUCAAAGAUAAAGUGGCUGUAAGCUAAAAUUGUAGCUUGAUAUAUGUGUUGAGUUUAUCUGUAGUUAUAUAUCAGGUCAACUAGUCAAUAAAUGUUUCAUGAUUGUAUUAUGGUGUAGAGAAUACUAUUUUCAGGAUCUACCUCUGUAGAUUUGUGUGCUAGAAUAUUCAGUUUUAGGUUAACUUGCUGACUUAUCAAUAGAUUCCACACACACACACACACACACACACACACACACCCCAUCUUCCACAUACAGUAAAUGGAAAGAUGAUGCCAGAACCAAAUUCAAUUAAAAUUUAAUAAUAAAAAAAAGGAAGAUGGAAUUUAUUUUCAGUACUUUUCUUUUGUAUGAAAUAAUAGAUUUUAGGAUUUCGAUCAUGAAAUUGCAUCAAUAUUUAUCAGAUGCCCUUCAAAAUUGUCGAGUUUUCAAGAAUGACUUAUGGUAAAUUGUUUCCUUCAACAAGUAUUUUAUUACAAUGGUAACUAAAUAUAUGGAUCAUAUUAUGUGAACAAAUUUAUUGCGUAACUUUUAUAAAAUAACAAUUAUUUUGAGAGUAUUUCCAAUAAGCAUUUUAUCGAAAAAGAAAUGAACAGAAAAAUCAUAUUUUGAUGAAAUAUAACCACAAAAUCGUGCAUUGUUUUCAAAUUUCAAAUUAACACGAAGCCGAGAAUCGGGUUAAUGACAAAUAAAACCACAAGUAACACAUAUUCUUAUAAACUUAUGAAUGUUUUUAUCUCCUUGCAAGGUUAAACAAUCCAACAGCAGCAUAAAGUGGUGAUUUAUAGGUUAUUGUAUUAAUAGAGUCCUCAUUACAGGGGUUCAGAAAACUGUGAAUGAAUUAAAUAAAACACAAAACAGUGUUAAUGUAUGGAAAUACAUGGAUUUUGAGGGCGAUUUGAUAGACAGCUCGAGGCAUUUGACUGAUGAUUGGAAGAUCUCUGGUUGUAUAUUUAUAUUAUGUAACAUUCUUUGGGGAAAAAAUUAAUUAAAUGCUGAAAAUACUUCUUGUAUCAUGGCAUAUUUUAUGUGAUCUUGCCCGAGAAUUGGGCUUCUAGAUAUACCUGUAGGUUUAAGUGUUCUUGUAUGACUUUGCAUUGCUCUUAUUUUUUGUGUGAAGAUAAAUUAUCAUGUCUUAUAAAUCAUGUACAAUGCUCAUCCUUGUAUAGCUGUCAUUUUAUCGUCAUUAAAUAAAUGCUUGCUAC
rnacentral:misc_RNA from 1 species